rnacentral:lncRNA from 1 species
AAAAUGUUCUUCUCUGGUUCUUUUAAGGUGAUACCAGCAAGGACGAGACCACCAGCGGGCCGGAUUCAGUAGAUUCUGGUGAAGGCGUGGUGGAGAAGAAGGACCCAGAUACACCAGACGAGACAGAAACAGGAAGUGAUUCUCCAGACACAGACUCUGCUUCUAAAGCAUCUCAGGAAACAGACUCUCCAGAUGGAGCAGAGAAGGACGCUGAUGAUAAGACUGAUACGGAUAAAGAUUCUUCCAGUAAGGAGCAGUCAGACACCGACUCAGCGGAUCAGAAGGAUUCCUCAGAGGACACAUCGGAUACACCUGAUGCUGCAGACAAAGAAACUUUUGACUCAAACGAGUCAGACAAGGACAAGACAGAUACCAGCAAUGACACGGAGAAGGACAGUAAGGAGAAGGACAGUAAGGAGAAGGACAGAGACGUGGAGGAUUCAGACACUCCCGACAAAGAAGUAAAGGACACUGAUAAAGACAGCAGCGAGACUGAAGACACUGACGAGAAGGAGAAGAGUGAUAAAUCAGGUGCAGACAAAACAGAUCCUGAUCGCUCUUCAGAAAAAGGAGACAGCAAAUGCAGACAGCGAUGCAGACAGUGGCGUAGACAGCACAGGUCCAAAAGGCGAGGAUGAAGGUUUAGACAAGGACAAGGACAGCUCACACAAGACCAGCGACGACACCAGCAACGACAGCAAUGAGGGAAAAGAGAUCGAGAGGGAAACCACGACUGAAAACGAAGACAAAGACUCUGAGAAAUCUAAAGAGACCGCCGAAGAACCGUCUUCUGUAGACUCCCAGGAAAGCCAAAAGACCGCCUCCUCCAGCUCAGACUCCUCCCACUCCUCAAGCAAAGAAAACAACCAGGACCAGGAGAAGAGCAGCGCCGAGUCCACUGAUAAAGACAGCUCAGACAGUUCGGACCGGGACAGCACCGAGACCGAGGGAGAGGAUGAAAACGACAACAGCGACUCGAUGGACGCAACAGAGUCGACGUCACAUGAUGAGACCACUGAUGAAGAGACGGACACAGACACUACUGUCAGUCCCAUCGACGUCCCGGACCAGUCAGGUCAUAUAGACAACACAACACAAGUGCCUGAUGGGAUACCCCCCCCCGGUCAGGUCUUAGCAUCCAGGAUAUAAUAACAUGCAGCAGUUUAACAGGGUCAUCCGACACAACAACAGAAGCAACUCAAGUGGCCAUAAUAACCCGUCGCAUUCUGAUUCCCGUUAACACACGACACGUUUAAAUGCCAUCUCUCUCUCUCUCUCUCUCUCUCUCUCUCACAUGGUGAAGGGUUCUAUCUAGAGGGUUCUG